AGGUAAGCUACUAAGAGCGAAUGGUGGAUGCCUUGACUGGUAGAGGCGAUGAAGGACGUACUAGACUGCGAUAAGCUAGGUGGAGCUGUCAAGAAGCUUUGAUGCCUAGAUUUCCGAAUGGGGCAACCCAGUAUAUAGAGAUAUAUACUACCAUAAUGGAGCGAACGAGGGGAAUUGAAACAUCUUAGUACCCUCAGGAAAAGAAAUCAAACGAGAUUGCGUCAGUAGCGGCGAGCGAAAGCGUAAGAGGGCAAACCCAGUGCUUGCACUGGGGGUUGUAGGACUGCAAUGUGCAAAAGGAAAGGUUAGCAGAACACUCUGGAAAGUGUAGCCAUAGAGGGUGAUAGUCCCGUAUGCAAAAACCUAACCUUAGCUAGCAGCAUCCUGAGUAGGGCGGGACACGAGAAAUCCUGUCUGAAGCUGGGUAGACCACUAUCCAACCCUAAAUACUACUACCAGAUCGAUAGCGAACAAGUACCGUGAGGGAAAGGUGAAAAGAACGGCGGUGAGCCGAGUGAAAUAGAACCUGAAACCAUUUGCUUACAAUCAUUCAGAGCACUAUGUAGCAAUACAGUGUGAUGGACUGCCUUUUGCAUAAUGAGCCUGCGAGUUGUGGUGUCUGGCAAGGUUAAGCUAACGCGAAGCCGUAGCGAAAGCGAGUCUGAAUAGGGCGCUAAGUCAGAUGCUGCAGACCCGAAACGAAGUGAUCUAUCCAUGAGCAGGUUGAAGCUAGUGUAAGAACUAGUGGAGGACCGAACCCGCUAGCGUUGAAAAGCUAUGGGAUGACUUGUGGAUAGGGGUGAAAGGCCAAUCAAACUUCGUGAUAGCUGGUUCUCUCCGAAAUAUAUUUAGGUAUAGCGUUGUGUCGUAACUAAAGGGGGUAGAGCACUGAAUGGGCUAGGGCAUACACCAAUGUACCAAACCCUAUCAAACUCCGAAUACCUUUAGUGUAAUCACAGCAGUCAGGCGGCGAGUGAUAAAAUCCGUCGUCAAGAGGGAAACAACCCAGACUAACAGCUAAGGUCCCCAAAUCUUACUUAAGUGGAAAACGAUGUGAAGUUACUUAAACAACCAGGAGGUUGGCUUAGAAGCAGCCAUCCUUUAAAGAAAGCGUAAUAGCUCACUGGUCUAGUGAUUUUGCGCGGAAAAUAUAACGGGGCUAAAGUAAGUACCGAAGCUUUAGACUUGCACACAACUUAGAUGAUUUAAAUUUAGAAUAUGAAAAGCUAAAUUUAUUUUUAUUUAUUUUUGCUUAUCUUUAUUUAUUUUUAUAGAGUAAAGAUAAAAACAAAAACUUCGUAAAAAUAAUAAAAUAUAGUAAAAAACAAUAAAAAUAUUCUUAGAUUAAAAGUUAAGUCGUUUAAGUUGUGUGCAAGUGGUAGGAGAGCGUUCUAUUUGCGUCGAAGGUAUACCGACAAGGAGUGCUGGAGCGAAUAGAAGUGAGCAUGCAGGCAUGAGUAGCGAUAAUUAAUGUGAGAAUCAUUAACGCCGUAAACCCAAGGUUUCCUACGCGAUGCUCGUCAUCGUAGGGUUAGUCGGGUCCUAAGCUGAGUCCGAAAGGGGUAAGCGAUGGCAAAUAGGUUAAUAUUCCUAUACCAACAUUAGUGUGCGAUGGAAGGACGCUUAGGGCUAAGGGGGCUAGCGGAUGGAAGUGCUAGUCUAAGGUCGUAGGAGGUUAUACAGGCAAAUCCGUAUAACAAUACUCCGAGAACUGAAAGGCUUUUUGAAGUCUUCGGAUGGAAAGAAGAACCCCUGAUGCCGUCGAGCCAAGAAAAGUUUCUAAGUUUAGCUAAUGUUGCCCGUACCGUAAACCGACACAGGUGGGUGGGAUGAGUAUUCUAAGGCGCGUGGAAGAACUCUCUUUAAGGAACUCUGCAAAAUAGCACCGUAUCUUCGGUAUAAGGUGU
rnacentral:rRNA from 1 species